AUACGCAUGACACACUGCAUAUCAAUAAGCGGAGGAAAAGAAACUAACAAGGAUUCCCCUAGUAACGGCGAGUGAAGCGGGAAGAGCUCAAAUUUGAAAUCUUAAAGGGUUUCCCUUUACGAAUUGUAGUUUAAAGAAGUGUUUUCUGUUGGAGUUUCGGUAAAAGUUCUUUGGAAUAGGACAUCAUAGAGGGUGAGAAUCCCGUAUUUGACCGUGACUUUCCAGCUGUGUGAUACACUUUCAAAGAGUCGGAUUGUUUGGGAAUGCAGUCCAAAAUGGGUGGUAAAUUUCAUCUAAAGCUAAAUAUUGGCGAGAGACCGAUAGCGAACAAGUACCGUGAGGGAAAGAUGAAAAGAACUUUGAAAAGAGAGUUAAACAGUACGUGAAAUUGUCAAAAGGGAAGCGUUUGACACCAGUGUUGUUUAGUUGAAAAUCAAUUCAAUAGUUUUUGAUUUUGAGUAGUAUUGACUUCAUCAGCUUGCUGCUUUCUUUUCCGGAAAUUAUUGAAUGCACUUUUCAGUUAACAAGGUCAACAUCAAUUUCUUUUGUUGUAAAAGGGUAAGAGGAAGGUGGCUUACGCUUCGGCGUAAGUGUUUAUAGCCUUUUACCUCUGCAAUCGGAGAGAUUGAGGACAGCAGCGUAGACUCCUUCGGGGUUAGAUACACUUGUGCUAAGCUAUAGCCUUGUAUAGACAACUUGUUGACUAUGCUCAGUCAUGUAGCUUACUCGCUUGUGCUAUUUUACCUACGCUUAGGAUGUUGAUCUACAGAGCGAGAGU
rnacentral:rRNA from 1 species